AUAACACCUAUUCUCGGGCGAUCACCGAAGUUAAGCAACGUCGAGCCCUGUCUGUACUAUGAUGAGUGACCACUUGAGAAUACCAGGUGUUGUG